ensembl:lncRNA
GCUUGGUCUUGGUAGACAAGGCGCACGGAACCAAGAGAACCCGCUCCCAGGGGGCGGCGAGGCCUCGUUCCGCGGCCGCUCCGCUGUGCACCUGCGGGGGGCGCAUGCGCUCACGGUGCGACCUGGACGCCAUGUGCGCGAGGGGCGCACGCAGGCUUCCUGCCCGCUUCCCACCCCAGGGGCCCUAGGGGCACGGGUAGGUGCACACGUGCAGUGCCGGGUAGGCCACCAGGCUGCCGCCCCUCCUGCGGCCCGGCUGCGCCCCGGGCGCCGGCUCUCCGCGAGGCGCUGCUGAGGCUCCGGGGAGCGAGGGAGGCUGGAGCACCCGGCUUCUGCCCCUGUGCGAGAGAGCAGAGGUGCGGGUCAGGGCUGGACAGGUGGGAGGCCGAGGCAGGCAAGCCUCUCCCCCAGGGCCGGCUCAGCACCGCGGAAGGGGUCUGUCCUGGUCCCCUGGGCUCCCGGGGGCUCGGGGAGGGCAGAGCCUGACCGGUGAGGGGCGAUCCCACGUGUGUGGAAGUCAGGGCCCCACACCCCUGUUAUUAGAGCAACAGCCCUGCAGAAACGGGAGGGGAUCCCCCAGGCGAUGGAGGUGAUCAGAGGAUCUAUGUGCAUGUGUGAAAAGGCCACACUGAGACCUAGUAUUCUGUAAAAAUAAUAGGCGUAAUCAAAUAAAUUUUUUACAAUGAAAUAAUCCACUAGAAACAUUAAGAAAAUGAAGUAAACGUAAAGGUGUGGGUGGCAUUCAUACCAUACAUAUACAUUUUUGUUUUUUUGAGACAGGGUCUUGCUGUGUAGCCCAGGCUGGCUUCAAACUUGCAGUGAUCCUCCUGUCUCAGCCUCCUGAAUGCUGAGACUACAGCAUUAACUGUUGGCAUAGCCGUGAGAUGCUGUACCUGCUGCACCCUCUCCUUGUCCUUUGGCCUGAUCAGGGGAGGUGCUGGCUGGGCCGGGGCAGCGUCUCGGCCUCUUCCACUUAACUGUGUCUGAAAUAUAGGAGCUCAGCCUCACUUAGUUUCCUAGGUGAAAACUGGGAUUGUACUGAGCACACAGCAUUUACGGGCUGUCUAUGCAUGGGUGUUGGAGCAUGCUGACAUCCCAACCUCAAGAAAGGUGAAACCCAAAGAGUGACAAUUCAAAGAGGAGGAAAGGGGGCAGGGCCUGGUGCUGCUGGCCUUGAAUCCCAGCAUCAGGGGCCUGAGGCAGGAGGAUUGCAAUUGGAGCCCACCUUGGGCUAUGAAGUGAGUUCAAGGCCAGCCUGAGCCAUAUAGUAAGACAAUCUUACCUUUGUGUCCAGUGAAAGCAGGCAAAAGGGCUAAUGUUUAUCAGUGCCCAUCUGCAGGGACUUUUCAGCUUCAAAUCUAAUGCUCACACGACCUUUAGGGUGCAUAUUUCAGAUUCAGAAACUGAGUCCUGGGCUGCUAAAGUAACUCACAGAAAACCAACUGAGCAGAAAUACUGCAACACAAGUGUGUCAGAGUACAUUUUUCCCACUGUUGUUUUCUUUGUUUGAGGCAGGGUCUCACUAAGUCUUCCCAGCUGGCCUCAAACUCGGGGCAAUCCUCCUGCCUCAGCCUCCUGAAUGCUAGGGCUCACAGGUGUGCGCUGCCAUGCCCAGUGUUUUCCCAGGUUUGGAAGACCGGGUUUGUAAUGCACCAUACAUGGUGAGAAAGCUGGGGGAUGCAACACACAUCUAGACAAGGAAACCCACUUGGGCUUCGUAGCCUCCUGCGCUUAGCCUAAUGCUGAUUCUAAACAAUAUUUCUGACAAUUUUGUGCAUAAAACAAGUUUCCGGCUUGGAACUUUUCAUCGGGCUGUGACACCGGUCCUCCACAAGUUUAGAUUCUGGAGCUCAGUGGGUUAGGGAUGGUGCCCUGUAUCCGCAGCAGGGCUGGAGCAGAACUCAAGGCCCACUCUGGAGCCUGUGCCCCAGCUGGAAGGAUGGGGCCGUGCCCGUGUACCUGGCACUGCGCAAGGGACCUUCAGUCCCAUCAGUCCCCGGCACUGAACCCAGGGCCUUCUCAAUGAGCUACGUCCCCAUCACCCCCCUUUUUUUUUGGUACCAGGGAUCCAACUCAGGUCCUUGUGCUUGCGAGGCAGGUGGCGGAACCACUGAGCUAAAUCUCCGGCCCAAUCCCC